UAAAGGCCAACGAGAUGACCAUGCUG
rnacentral:piRNA from 1 species